rnacentral:rRNA from 1 species
GACGAACGCUGGCGGCGUGCCUAAUACAUGCAAGUAGAACGCACAGUUUAUACCGUAGCUUGCUACACCAUAGACUGUGAGUUGCGAACGGGUGAGUAACGCGUAGGUAACCUGCCUGGUAGCGGGGGAUAACUAUUGGAAACGAUAGCUAAUACCGCAUAAUAUUGAUUAUUGCAUGAUAAUUGAUUGAAAGAUGCUAUUGCAUCACUACCAGAUGGACCUGCGUUGUAUUAGCUAGUAGGUGAGGUAACGGCUCACCUAGGCGACGAUACAUAGCCGACCUGAGAGGAUGAUCGGCCACACUGGGACUGAGACACGGCCCAGACUCCUACGGGAGGCAGCAGUAGGGAAUCUUCGGCAAUGGACGAAAGUCUGACCGAGCAACGCCGCGUGAGUGAAGAAGGUUUUCGGAUCGUAAAGCUCUGUUGUAAGAGAAGAACGGGUGUGAGAGUGGAAAGUUCACACUGUGACGGUAUCUUACCAGAAAGGGACGGCUAACUACGUG